rnacentral:rRNA from 1 species
GCUCCUACGGGAGGCUGCAGUGGGGAAUCUUGCGCAAUGGGCGAAAGCCUGACGCAGCCAUGCCGCGUGAAUGAUGAAGGUCUUAGGAUUGUAAAAUUCUUUCACCGGGGACGAUAAUGACGGUACCCGGAGAAGAAGCCCCGGCUAACUUCGUGCCAGCAGCCGCGGUAAUACGAAGGGGGCUAGCGUUGCUCGGAAUUACUGGGCGUAAAGGGAGCGUAGGCGGACAUUUAAGUCAGGGGUGAAAUCCCGGGGCUCAACCUCGGAAUUGCCUUUGAUACUGGGUGUCUUGAGUAUGAGAGAGGUGUGUGGAACUCCGAGUGUAGAGGUGAAAUUCGUAGAUAUUCGGAAGAACACCAGUGGCGAAGGCGACACACUGGCUCAUUACUGACGCUGAGGCUCGAAAGCGUGGGGAGCAAACAGGAUUAGAUACCCUUGUAGUCGAAUUCUU